GGGGCGGAGGGGGGACAGGCAGGCGGGGGCCGGGCCUGCGCCCCCGACUCAGCACCUGUUAGCUCUGUGCCUUGUGGCUCCAUCAGCAGCAGCGAGAACCUCCCAGGUCGGUGACCUUCCCCGGGACCCCAAAAGCUGAAGCUGCCGUGCUCGGUGCAGGGCGUCGGGGGGUGGUAGGAACCCCGACAGCGUCAGAGAUUUCACCUCAGAGGGUCGCUCCCUGUGCGCCUCUCGCCAGGCUCAGGUGUGCGAGUGGCCAGGCCUGAGGGUCCCGCCCCUCCUGCAUUUGCCCCCUGUUUCGAUCAGAAACGCCAACAGGCAGUGAAGCUCCUGAAAGGCCCAGCUGAUGCUGCAGAGUCUGCGGUGACGUUUCCAGGACAUCGGCAGCUCCUCCUUUGUUAAAAAAACAACGCACUACCCUAGAAAGCCCCCGGGCUUUGCUGAGGUCACAGGAAAGACACAGUCACUCUUCCUGGAAAAACCCACGCACCAAAGUCCCUGUUCUCAUGGAGCCUCGCCAAGCUGCCAGUUCAGCGGCGGCCCCGGGUCAUUUCUCUCCCUGCCCACCGGCGUUACCUCUGCGGAGCCUGAACCCAGGGUAGACGCUGGCGGGAAAGCCGCUCCUCCAGGACGCUCCUUCUCUGUUUUGCUAUCUGCUAAAUUCAAAGACAAGUGCUAUUUCCAAUGACUGUUGUCUGCACACGACCUUGAAUAGAAGCGGUGACCCAUGGCUCUUCAUUAAAAUGGUCCCGAGACUAAAAACAAAACGCCCAAGGCAUUCCCUCAAUAAAAAGAAAGAAAGCGAGAAUGAAACUUUAGACAGAUGCACAGCGUCCUGGAAGGAGUUUUAGUGGAGGAUUCCACUCAUCCAUCGCUUCGUGUCCUGCGUCUCUUUUGAAAUUCCUUGUGCUGACCCAGCUGCCGUUCAAUAAACACUCCAGUGUGGGGGUGACAAAUGUAAUUUUCACCUAAACUGUGUUUCCGUCAUUCUGGUAGAAAGGCUUGCCUCUUUGAAAUACAGUUCUUUUCUAUCCCUUUCUUUCUGUCUUUGACUUGCGUGGUUCCCUCUGUGGUGGUGGGAGGCAGCCCGUGACCAGGCAGAGGCAACAGCAGGUAUUUUUCAGCCCCGCCCAGGCCGAGCUGGCAUCUUUCCAGAACCCCAGCUCACUGUUUUCGUGCCCUCUGAGUCUCAAAGCCAGCAUAUUUUGCUUCAUUGCUUUGUAAAGUUAAAGCCACUUGUGCCUGCAUCUCACGGGGGUCCUGAGUGGCGUCUCUGUGUUCCCACCAGCACUGUCAACGUUUCUCCCGUGAGAGGGAGAGCCAUGGGGCAAUGGGGACGCUGGGUGACAGUCACGAAGCUGGGAGCCUAAGGGGACAGUCGCUUAGGUAAGACCGCCAGGAAGGGGCCGCCUUCAGGCCCACACACGCGUGCCUGUGUCUCCUCUGUGCUGGCCCAUGGGAACGACUGGAUGCCUUCCUACCUU
rnacentral:lncRNA from 1 species